UCGGCGAAAGCCGAAUUAAUACCGCAUGUGGCUACUGGAGACAUCUUCGGGACGCUAAAGGUGGCGCAAGCUACCGCUUUUUGAGGAGCCCGCGGCCUAUCAGCUAGUUGGUGAGGUAACGGCCCACCAAGGCGAAGACGGGUAGCUGGUCUGAGAGGACGACCAGCCACACUGGAACUGAGACACGGUCCAGACACCUACGGGUGGCAGCAGUCGAGAAUUUUUCACAAUGGGCGCAAGCCUGAUGGAGCGACGCCGCGUGGGGGAUGAAUGGCUUCGGCCCGUAAACCCCUGUCAUUCGCGAUCAAACCCCAUUAUUUAAAAGAUGGUGGGCUGAUAGUAGCGGAAGAGGAAGGGACGGCUAACUCUGUGCCAGCAGCCGCGGUAAUACAGAGGUCCCAAGCGUUGUUCGGAUUCACUGGGCGUAAAGGGUGCGUAGGUGGCGAGGUAAGUCGGAUGUG
rnacentral:rRNA from 1 species